GAAUGUGAGGGUGAUCUGGCUGUGACCUCUAUCACUUCUCCAAUCACUAGAGUUGACUCAGCUCAUCAGGCUGGAGAGGCAGUUCCCCUUUCUCCCUCACUGCUGUGUGCUUGCCAGUUAAAGGAGAUGAGCUUCCAGGUAGAGAAGGAUCCUUUCCUUGGUCAAGUGUAUGGGUAGCUGAGCUCCCUGCUAGACCCUCCAAACAAGCUCUCUUGGUGAUAGCUGGGUUCUUCUUGCCAAGACCUAGUGCAAGGCACACCAGGUCCACGCAGGUUUAAAUUGACCACAUAGGGCUGGUGACAGAGGUG
rnacentral:snRNA from 1 species